rnacentral:lncRNA from 10 species
AUUGUCGCUCCUGCGCAUGCGCGAACUCCUGGCGGGACCUACGCGGUAGAAGUUUCUACUAAGUGAAAAGGAAGAGCGAGGGAUUCUUUUCUCUGUGGUCUACAGCAGCAGCACUAUUAUUAAAAAUAUUUGGAAAGACAACCUGCUCAUCAGCCAUCAUUAAUGUUAGUGUAUUUUAUGUGUGGCCCAAGACAAUUCUUCCUCCAAUGUGGCCUAGGGAAGCCGAAAGAUUGGACACCCCUGAUAAAGUAAACGGCCAUACUGUUUGCUGUGGCUAAGCCUUUGAGUCCGUGCCUGGAAAUGUAAAUACAAUCAAGUGGCAUCUUAAAUUUUUGCUGGAAGUGGAGUCAUGAGACUAAAGAUAUCUCUUUUAAAAGAACCAAAGCAUCAAGAAUUAGUAAGCUGUGUGGGCUGGACUACUGCUGAAGAGCUGUAUUCAUGUAGUGAUGAUCACCAGAUAGUGAAGUGGAACUUGUUAACCAGUGAAACAACUCAAAUAGUAAAGCUUCCUGAUGAUAUUUACCCUAUUGAUUUUCACUGGU